GAUGUUGAGGUCUCGUGGGAUUAACCCACAAAUUAAAACUUGUAAUUCGUUGAUUUGUAGCGUUUCAAGGUAUAGAGGGUCUUACGCGGGUUAUGGACUUUUUAGGGAGGUUUUUGGAUCCAAGGAUAAUGAGACUGAGGAAGAGGUGAAAAGGAAUGUUAGAGCCAGGCCUAAUGUACAUAGUUUUAAUGAGUUGAUGAUGGGCUUUUACAGAGAUGGUGAAAUGGAGAUGGUUGAGGAGGCAUGGAAUGAAAUUGAGAGAUUUGGAUGUGUUCCAAACGGGUUUAGCUAUAGUGUCUUGCUGUCUACGUUUUGUGAGGAAGGGAAGAUAAAGGAAGCGGAGAAGUCAUGGGAAGAAAUGAGAGCAAGGGGAAUAAAGCCUGAUGUUGCAGCUUAUAAUACUAUCAUUGGUGGAUUUUGCAAGAUUGGGGACAUCGAGAAAUCUGAGGAGAUUUUAAGAGAAAUGGAACUGAGUGGAGGAGAAAGUACUUGCGUUACUCUUGAGCACCUAAUCAAUGGCUACUGUAGAGUUGGGG
rnacentral:misc_RNA from 1 species